CAGGCUUGGGUGAUAAGGGCCUAAACUUAGG
rnacentral:piRNA from 1 species